ACAAUGGUUACUAUAAAAAUAUUCGAAAAAAUUUAAGUAACAUUGGAUUAUGGCCUUACGAUAAUCGCAAAUAUCGUUUAUUUCUUCAGUGUUUCUUUAUCUUCGUUUUAUCAACGAGUAUAUUUCUACAGGUAUCGGGUUUUUUACUCUUACCCUAUAACACGAAAUUGUUAUUAAAAUUUAUCAUUCGCAUUUCACCGACUAUUUAUAGCACUGCAGGUUACACAAUGUUUUUGAUUAAAAGGAAAAAAAUCAAAGAAUUAUUCGAUCAGAUUCAUAGUGAUUGCGAGCUUCGUUUGUUGAGAGAUCAAGAGUCCGAGAGAAUAUUGAAAAUGUAUGCCGACAACAUUAAACAAUUUAUCUUACCUUUAUA